UCACCCCUCAAGCCCCCUGGCUUGGUGUUGGACGGUUGGCGAUGACCUCCGGGUCGUCGCCCCUCCCAAAGACAAUGACGGCGGCCUCGUUGGACCCCCGGUACACUGAGUUCUUCACGGGACACGUACUGGAUCAAGGGUGCGCGGAGCACGGUCUUAACCAUUUCACCCCUCGUGGGCGGAAUAAUUUUUCUA
rnacentral:misc_RNA from 1 species